ensembl:lncRNA
AAAGCAUAAGCUCACAGAUUUUCUGGUCCAAGGCUCACAGCAUUGACGCGUAUGCCACAAACUCGAAAUAAUUAACACUGCUUUGGUUUAAUUGUUAAAUUAUAUUUGAAAGUAAAUUUAUUUAGCAGUUGUAAUACAAUAUCUAACUAAAGGAAAUCCAUAAAAUGGCCAGAUUGAGGUCAAUGACGGAAGCAUGCGCACGUGAGUUGACCACGCCCCUCUUUCCAUGCCCUGAAGCAGCGCGCCAUUUUGUUCAUCUUCUGGCUGCAGCGAGCGGCUUCAACUUACUCUCGGAAUGUAUGGACAAACUGAACCUCAGGAACUUGGUGUCUAUUUCAAUGUGAAUUGGAAACUCUUCGACCUUUUCCAGAAAGAUCAAGCUGAGCAGUACGGAGGUCUUCAGCUCGUUUGUGUGGGGAGCUGUGGCCUACACACGCUACACAACUCCUUCAAGUGUGGGUUCACUGUAUGGCAGCUGGACAAAUUGCUGAGAGCAAUGCACACAUUGUUUCACAAUACGCCUGCCAGGAGAGAGGAUUACAUCACCGUAACCAAGUCCAGUGUGUUCCCUCUAUCUUUCUGUGCCCAUCGUUGGGUAGAAAACCUUCCGGUUGUGGAGAGAGCCCUGGCAGUCUGGCCAUCAUUUCUCCUGUACAUGGAAGCUGUGAAAACAAAGAGACUCCCGAACCCUGGAACAGCAUCAUAUGACACAGUUGCAGCAGCCAUAAAGGAUCCA